GCCCUGGCCGAUCAUGAUUUGGCCAGGAGGUUAUGCCAAGCAACCAUUCUCCCGACCGAUCGGGAGAUCAUGAAGAGUCGGUCAGUGUCCGACAUGCUUUCUUCCUUUUACCCGACUAUGAUCCAGGUGAGCUCCUACUCUUCCUUUCUCCUAUUCAUUAUUGUUUUCCAUCAAUUCGGUUUUCUGACAGUCAGCCUUCCAUCCAUAGCUGAUCUAUAAUAUAUCUGAGCUGGAGGCCG
rnacentral:lncRNA from 1 species